rnacentral:rRNA from 1 species
CAGUAGCCACGGUAAUACGAAGGGUGCAAGCGUUACUCGGAAUUACUGGGCGUAAAGCGUGCGUAGGUGGUGGUUUAAGUCCGUUGUGAAAACCCUGGGCUCAACCUGGGAAUUGCAGUGGAUACUGGAUCACUAGAGUGUGGUAGAGGAUAGUGGAAUUUCCGGUGUAGCAGUGAAAUGCGUAGAGAUCGGAAGGAACAUCUGUGGCGAAGGCGACUAUCUGGGCCAACACUGACACUGAGGCACGAAAGCGUGGGGAGCAAACAGGAUUAGAUACCCCUGUAGUCCCUGUCUCUUAUAC